rnacentral:rRNA from 1 species
AGUGAACGCUGGCGGUAGGCCUAACACAUGCAAGUCGAACGGCAGCACAGUAAGAGCUUGCUCUUACGGGUGGCGAGUGGCGGACGGGUGAGGAAUACAUCGGAAUCUACUUUUUCGUGGGGGAUAACGUAGGGAAACUUACGCUAAUACCGCAUACGACCUACGGGUGAAAGCAGGGGAUCUUCGGACCUUGCGCGAUUGAAUGAGCCGAUGUCGGAUUAGCUAGUUGGCGGGGUAAAGGCCCACCAAGGCGGCGAUCCGUAGCCGGUCUGAGAGGAUGGUCAGCCACACUGGAACUGAGACACGGUCCAGACUCCUACGGGAGGCAGCAGUGGGGAAUAUUGGACAAUGGGCGCAAGCCUGAUCCAGCCAUACCGCGUGGGUGAAGAAGGCCUUCGGGUUGUAAAGCCCUUUUGUUGGGAGAGAAAAGCAGCAGGUUAAUACCCCGCUGUUCUGACGGUACCCAAAGAAUAAGCACCGGCUAACUUCGUG